GCCCUGGUAGCACAAUGGUUAAGCAUUCAGCUGCUAACUGAAAGGUUGGUGGUUCAAACCCACCCAGUAGCU
rnacentral:tRNA from 1 species